CUGACAGAUACAGGAAAUGUUGUGCAGCACAAGAAUAUCUUGCCAAUCCCUCUGUAAUAGGAGACUCUGACAGCUACAGACCACUUCACCAGGAGUGGACAGGAGCUCUGGAGACGGAUCCCCAGUGAACGCAAACCCCAGCUCCAGGGGACCAGGCAGCCCCAGUGCUUAGGAUCAGCAAACUUUCUGUUGCUGCCACUACCCAGGAAAACUAUGGACUUUGGAG